GAUCUUAUUUAUUCUAGUAUCUGGAACACGAAAUAGAUAGAGUGGAUCAAAAAGAAAAAUGGAACUAUGAUUCAUACUCACUAUUAAGACCUCGCAACCAGACUAAAAAAUUCAAGUAGUUCUUAA
rnacentral:rRNA from 1 species